rnacentral:rRNA from 1 species
UGAGCAAUCUGCCUAGAUGUGGGGGAUAGCCGGCCCAACGGCCGGGUAAUACCGCAUACGCUCUCCUGGUGGCAUCACCGGGUGAGGAAACUUUCGAGGCGUCUAGAGGAGCUCGCGGCCUAUCAGCUAGUUGGUGAGGUAAUGGCUCACCAAGGCUUUGACGGGUAGCUGGUCUGAGAGGAUGGCCAGCCACAUUGGGACUGAGAUACGGCCCAGAUCCGUACGGGG